CUAAAAUAGAGCUGUCACUGCUGAACUGCUCAAUAUCAGGUUUCUUCAUUGUCUCUUGCAGACCGUGCUCCGUGAUGGGAAGAGAGAGAGUAUCAUGAGCACACUCUUUGUCUCUCCAUCGGACAUUGAGAAUGGCCAGACCAUUGCCUGCCGAGCCACCAACAAAGCCAUCCCCAGCGGAAAGGAAACCUCUGUCACUAUUGACAUUCAACAUCCUCCUCUCGUCAAUCUGUCAGUGGAACCUCAACCUGUCCUUGAAGACAACACAGUAAAGUUUCAUUGCUCUGCAAAAGCCAACCCUGCUGUCACUCAGUACAGGUAAGCGCCUCCUUAACUUCCAUGUAACUUCCAAUGUUUUACUUCCACUGAUGUUACUAUAUGGAAUCUC
rnacentral:lncRNA from 11 species